rnacentral:tRNA from 1 species
GGCGUGUUGGACUGACGAUAACUUCAAAACCGUCUGUGACCUGCGUGCCAGGUUGGGUGGGUUCGAUUCCCACGCGGUCCCGCCA